rnacentral:rRNA from 1 species
GACAGAGGCCUCGAGCGUUAGGCGGAAUCACUGGGCUUAAAGCGUGUGUAGGCGGAUCGUUAAGUACCUUGUGAAAUCCCACGGCUCAACCGUGGAACGGCUGGGUAUACUGGCGGUCUUGGGCCAUUCAGGGGCGACUGGAACAAGCGGUGGAGCGGUGAAAUGCGUAGAUAUCGCUUGGAACGCCGAAGGUGAAAACAGGUCGCUGGGGAUGUGCCGACGUGAGACACGAAAGCCAGGGGAGCAAACGGG